CCUACGGGUGGCAGCAGUGAGGAAUAUUGGUCAAUGGGCGGGAGCCUGAACCAGCCAAGUCGCGUGAAGGAAGAAGGUACUUAGUAUUGUAAACUUCUUUUGUCGGGGAACAAAGGCGGAGACGCGUCUCCGGAUGAGUGUACCCGAAGAAAAAGCAUCGGCAAACUCCGUGCCAGCCGCCGCGGUAAUACGGAGGAUGCGAGCGUUAUCCGGAUUUAUUGGGUUUAAAGGGUGCGCAGGCGGGAGAUCAAGUAAUCGGUAAAAUGUCGGGGCUCAACCCCGGCCGGCCGUUGAAACUGGUUGUCUAGAGUUGGAUAGAGGUAUGCAGAAUUCGUGGUGUAGCGAUGAAAUGCAUAGAUAUCACGAAGAACACCGAUUGCGAAGGCAGCAUACCGGCUCCAUACUGACGCUGAGGCACGAAAGCGUGGGGAGCGAACAGGAUUAGAUACCCCGGUAGUC
rnacentral:rRNA from 1 species